rnacentral:rRNA from 1 species
CGUUGGCCCAUUGAUUGAUGGUGCUUGCACCUGAUUGAUUUUGGUUGCCAACGAGUGGCGGACGGGUGAGUAACACGUAGGUAACCUGCCCAGAAGCGGGGGACAACAUUUGGAAACAGAUGCUAAUACCGCAUAACAGCGUUGUUCGCAUGUACAACGCUUAAAAGAUGGCUUCUCGCUAUCACUUCUGGCUGGACCUGCGGUGCAUUAGCUUGUUGGUGGGGUAACGGCCUACCAAGGCGAUGAUGCAUAGCCGAGUUGAGAGACUGAUCGGCCACAAUGGGACUGAGACACGGCCCAUACUCCUACGGGAGGCAGCAGUAGGGAAUCUUCCACAAUGGGCGCAAGCCUGAUGGAGCAACACCGCGUGAGUGAAGAAGGGUUUCGGCUCGUAAAGCUCUGUUGUUAAAGAAGAACACGUAUGAGAGUAACUGUUCAUACGUUGACGGUAUUUAACCAGAAAGUCACGGCUAACUACGUGCCAGCAGCCGCGGUAAUACGUAGGUGGCAAGCGUUAUCCGGAUUUAUUGGGCGUAAAGAGAGUGCAGGCGGUUUUCUAUGUCUGAUGUGAAAGCCUUCGGCUUAACCGGAGAAGUGCAUCGGAAACUGGAUAACUUGAGUGCAGAAGAGGGUAGUGGAACUCCAUGUGUAGCGGUGGAAUGCGUAGAUAUAUGGAAGAACACCAGUGGCGAAGGCGGCUACCUGGUCUGCAACUGACGCUGAGACUCGAAAGCAUGGGUAGCGAACAGGAUUAGAUACCCUGGUAGUCCAUGCCGUAAACGAUGAGUGCUAGGUGUUGGAGGGUUUCCGCCCUUCAGUGCCGGAGCUAACGCAUUAAGCACUCCGCCUGGGGAGUACGACCGNCAGGUUGAAACUCAAAGGAAUUGAC